AUCAAGCUGACGAGUCUCAAACAGAACGAAAUGCGAGUCAUGGAU
rfam:Schistosoma margrebowiei strain Zambia genome assembly, scaffold: SMRZ_contig0001227